CAUGGUGAGAACAAGGUGCAUUGGGUUGCCUGGGACAAAAUGUGCGUGUCAAAGAAAGAGGGAGGCAUGGGGUUCAGAAACUAUGAAGCUUUCAACCAGGCCUACUCGGCAAGCAAAGCCUGGCGGAUCUUGCAAGUCCCGGAGUCCCUAUGCGUAAGGGUUUAACGAGCUAGAUAUUUCAAAGACUUGUCGAUUAUGAGUGCCACAUGCCCAACAAAUGGGUCUUUCACCUUCCCCAGCAUUCUUCACGGCCGGGAUCUGCUGAGGGAAGGGGCGAUGUGGCGCAUUGGGGCGGAGCAAAGGUGCUUAUUCAUCACGAUAAUUGGAUACCCUGCAGAAGCAGCCUUCGGCCACUAG
rnacentral:rRNA from 1 species